rnacentral:rRNA from 1 species
UAAUUAACUGGACGUUACCCACAGAAGAAGCACCGGCUAACUCCGUGCCAGCAGCCGCGGUAAUACGGAGGGUGCGAGCGUUAAUCGGAAUUACUGGGCGUAAAGGGUGCGUAGGUGGUUGAUUAAGUUAUCUGUGAAAUUCCUGGGCUUAACCUGGGACGGUCAGAUAAUACUGGUUGACUCGAGUAUGGGAGAGGGUAGUGGAAUUUCCGGUGUAGCGGUGAAAUGCGUAGAGAUCGGAAGGAACACCAGUGGCGAAGGCGGCUACCUGGCCUAAUACGACACUGAGGCACGAAAGCGUGGGGAGCAAACAGGAUUAGAUACCC